rnacentral:rRNA from 1 species
GACAGAGGCCACAAGCGUUAGGCGGAAUCACUGGGCUUAAAGCGUGUGUAGGCGGAGGCGUAAGUGUCUUGUGAAAUCCCCCGGCUCAACCGGGGAACCGCUGGGCAUACUGCGUCUCUUGGGCCAAUCAGGGGCAGCUGGAACAAACGGUGGAGCGGUGAAAUGCGUAGAUAUCGCUUGGAACGCCAAAGGUGAAAACAGGUUGCUGGGGAUGUUCUGACACUGAGACGCGAAAGCCAGGGGAGCGAACGGG